rfam:Dipodomys ordii contig_11566, whole genome shotgun sequence.
GGGAAGGUGGCUUAGUUGUAGAGUGCUUGCCUUGCACCCAAGAGGACUUGGGUUCGAUUCCUCACCACCACA